UACGUAGGGACCCAGCGUUGUCCGGAAUCAUUGGGCGUAAAGCGCGCGUAGGCGGCCCGGUAAGUCCGUUGUAAAAGUCGAAGGCUCAACCUUCGAAAGCCGAUGGAUACUGCCGGGCUAGAGUCCGGAAGAGGCGAGUAGAAUUCCUGGUGUAGCGGUGGAAUGCGCAGAUAUCAGGAGGAAUACCCAUAGCGAAGGCAGCUCGCUGGGACGGUACUGACGCUGAGGCGCGAAAGCGUGGGGAGCGAACAGG
rnacentral:rRNA from 1 species